GAUGAACGCUGGCGGCGUGCUUAACACAUGCAAGUCGAACGGAAAGGCCCAAGCUUGCUUGGGUACUCGAGUGGCGAACGGGUGAGUAACACGUGGGUGAUCUGCCCUGCACUUCGGGAUAAGCCUGGGAAACUGGGUCUAAUACCGGAUAGGACCACUUCUUGGAUGUUGUGGUGGAAAGUUUUUUCGGUGUGGGAUGAGCUCGCGGCCUAUCAGCUUGUUGGUGGGGUAAUGGCCUACCAAGGCGUCGACGGGUAGCCGGCCUGAGAGGGUGUACGGCCACAUUGGGACUGAGAUACGGCCCAGACUCCUCGGGAGGCAGCAGUGGGGAAUAUUGCACAAUGGGCGCAAGCCUGAUGCAGCGACGCCGCGUGGGGGAUGACGGCCUUCGGGUUGUAAACUCCUUUCGCUAGGGACGAAGCGUUUUUGUGACGGUACCUGGAGAAGAAGCACCGGCUAACUACGUG
rnacentral:rRNA from 1 species